UAUACUAUAAAUUGGGACUAAAGGAUCAUUUUGCCCCCAAAUUAGAAAGCAACAACUUCUAAAUCGCGAACACAGUAAUUAAUCAGCUCCGGAGUUGAAAUCUUCACCGGCGCGUAGGAAUUGUCAGCGGCUACUGCGGCGAAGGAAUCGGCGAGGUCAGCGAUCGGCGAGGGUUGAUGCUAUGGAUCUCGUACGACUAGCACAGCAGUGUGCAGACGUCGAAACCCAGCUCGAAAACUAUGCCACAGCUAUCAGAAACUAUGAAAGGGACCUUUUUGUGGCAAGAAUGAGCCACAAAGUCACAUUGUUGGCUCGGAACACUGCACUGAAGAAGCUAACCCAAAAGCGUAUGGAGAUCACAACGCUUGGGAGAGUGGAGGUCAGUACUCAGGCAGAAGUUGAUCAGGUGUUCGAUAGCAUCAAAAACCACUCAAUGCAGUGCCGAGUUAUAUGUGCAACAGAUGCUUUGAAAACUUAUGCUACUGCGAAAGGUUUAAAUAGCAUAACGAUAGCUGAAGAAACAGCUCAAAUAUCUACGAUAGCAGCCGCCGCCAACAACCAAGGUGGAGGUGGAGGGUAACAUACUUGCACUGUCAUUUGUUGUAAUGGAACGGUGGUAGAAAAUUUUAAACCCAUGUUGACAUAUAUUACAUUCUUGCUGUGAUAAUACAUGUUUGGGUACAUUCUGGGGAAUGACUCAGAGAAUGAGAUUGUGGCAGUAGCUUGACCAGAAAUUGCUUGAAUGUUCUAUUUUUCUGGAAUAUUUUUUUGUUUGCUUCUA